GUGGGGAAUUUUGGACAAUGGGCGCAAGCCUGAUCCAGCAAUGCCGCGUGCAGGAAGAAGGCCUUCGGGUUGUAAACUGCUUUUGUACGGAACGAAACGGCUCUGGUUAAUACCCGGGGCUAAUGACGGUACCGUAAGAAUAAGCACCGGCUAACUACGUGCCAGCAGCCGCGGUAAUACGUAGGGUGCAAGCGUUAAUCGGAAUUACUGGGCGUAAAGCGUGCGCAGGCGGUUGUGUAAGACAGGCGUGAAAUCCCCGGGCUCAACCUGGGAAUUGCGCUUGUGACUGCACAGCUGGAGUGCGGCAGAGGGGGAUGGAAUUCCGCGUGUAGCAGUGAAAUGCGUAGAUAUGCGGAGGAACACCGAUGGCGAAGGCAAUCCCCUGGGCCUGCACUGACGCUCAUGCACGAAAGCGUGGGGAGCGAACAGGAUUAGAUACCCCAGUAGUCC
rnacentral:rRNA from 1 species